UGAAAUGUGGGCUUCUCAUCAUUUCUCUGUCACUCCGUUUCUUCAUGGUACGAAUGAAGAACAUUAUUUAGGUGACACUUGAAGAUGAAAUGUUCUGCAGGCUUCGUGACUGUGGCACUCUUAAUGCUUGGACAAACCCAUGGAGACUCAGUGACCCAGACGGAAGGCCAAGUGUCCCUCUCAGAAGAGGCUUCCCUCACUAUAAACUGUACCUAUACCACAACUUUGUAUCCCACCCUUUUGUGGUAUGUCCAGUAUCCGGGAGAAGGUCCACAGCUCCUCCUGAGUGUGUCGUGGGGCCAGGAGAAGGGAAGCAAUAAAGGAUUUGAAGCCACCUUGGACAGCAAUUCCAAAUCCUUCCACCUGGAGAAAGGCUCAGUGCAAGCAUCAGAUUCAGCUGUGUACUACUGUGCCAUGAGUGACACAGUGACAGGGACUGCAGGGGGAGCUGAGCGCAAACUCUGAGCAGAACAGGGACCUGGAUGCUGAGAGUCUCUGACUGACCCACUCUGGUUCCAGCUC